GACCAUUGUGUUUUGGGUCGGGUCGGGUAACAACAAAACCCGACCCGACCCAUUGACACCCCUAGUGCAAAUCGCUCAUCGAACGGCACCGGCCCGGUGCCGUCAAUGAACCCAUCAUUAUCCUUCGUUAUUAGGGCACGCCGGAGUUCUUGGGACCAAACGGAGUAAUUCCCCGGUCCCGUGAGUUGUAGGGUAAUUAGGCGUAGUUCCGGACUGUCGCCGGUGGCUGUGUAGAGGGCGUCGCCUGGCUCCGGCCAGCCACUGAUGGUUCCAGCAAGUGGAAUGAAAUUGGGGCUAAAAAACAGAGCCGGGUUUGCCCCAAAACCCGGUGGACCCGAACCAGUUUGAUUCGGGAAUUACCAACCUGACCUAGACUCGGGAUUCGGACCUUCUCCUGGUUUGCUAUUUUCAACGGAGCCGAUUUGGCCCGGUUGAACUUGAACAGGGACCCAUUGAACGUAUGGCCCUGGAAAAAUUUGUCCUGAACGAGCAUAUCCUGGGACUGACUGAUUUGAAUCUGGUUGUCUUUCUCUCGUCUCCUCGAGCUGGUUCUCUUCAGUAAUACUGGGAUCUGAAGAAGGGUCAUUGGAGGAGUUGUUGGACGAACCAGAAUUUGGAUUUUGACUUUUGGGCAUUUUUGCUUUGCAGGUUGAAAUUUGCUGUGCGGAAGCUUAUAGCAGAAGCUUUGAUACCAGGUAAGGAAUUGAGAUGAUGGAAAGAUGAACAGAGGAAUAAGAUAAUGGAAAUUGUAUAUUGCUUUCUCAUAUCAAAUAUACAAGUGUACAAGCCUAUUUAUGAUACAUAGAGCCUAAAUGAUUUAGGGAAUAAUUAUACAGAAAAGUAAAGAAAAUAUUCCCUAAUAUACAGUAUCAAUCAAGGAGCAUCGCAUCAGCCAUAUGAUAUCAAUCAACCAAAUCUCGAGGCAACAGUUUCUCCAACACUUUGAAGUCGAGCGAUUAAGCUGGUAGCGAAGUUGAAUUUCAGUGGGGUAUUUUUUAAUCACAUUUUUCAUGGACUUCUUUUGUCUACUUUCAUGUGAAUGGGGGACUUCGCCACCCUCGAGCUAAUUUGAACUCUCAGUCACAAAUAGAACCACCCUCUCCCUCCCCUCUCAUUUUCCAUUGUAAAGUAAUCGUACCAAUAGCUGAAUUGAGGUGCUUCGAUUUUGCUUGCUGAAAAUGUCCAAUUAUUUGCAAUUGUGUUUUGGAGUCCACACGUGUGCCAGUGGUGUUUGUGUUAGAAAGAUAUAUUCACGAUGCAUCUAAGAUUGCACAGACAAGUGAAGCUGCCUUCUAAAAUUGCAAAAUUUCAGACAACAUGCUAAAAACAUCCAUAAUACCUUAUAUCAGUGUUAUAAUGGCUUCGGCAUUUCAUCUUGAUGACAUUGAAAAUCACAAUCUUCUUUGCAUCUGUAGUUUUACAAUUUUAUCAUGAAUGUUUAACGUUUGCCAGGUUGUCCACAAUCCUUUCUUUGGAUUAAUUGGAGAAUAAUUUUUUAUGCAUCCAAGCUAGGUGGUCAGUGCAUGUUCACCACUCACAAUAGAUCUUUACUGUUGGUCUAUGUCUUCAUCUGUUCUUCCUUUGCCGAGACUCUUUUAAAUUAAGUUGGCAUUUAUUGUUUAGGUUUAUGUUUCUUUUAAUUUGAAAACAUUUUUUUUUCACUGAGAACGUACUCAAAUGUUUUUAUCCAACUAUAUCCUUCAAAUUGUGGCUGCAGUUCAGUUGCAGGUCACACAAGCAUCUCAUGUAGUCAUGCGAUCCUCAACGUGAGCUGUUCUUGAGUAUUUGGCCCUCUUCAAAAUAUGGUUGAGGCAGCAGCUACGGCAACCUCUGUUGAGGCAUACAGGGAUGGAAAAAGCUUAAUAGCUUAUGUUGGUCCCCAAAUCAAUUAUGCAAAUGAACUUGGAAAGAAUUUUAAAAGGCUCACCGAGGAAAAAGAGAAACUCUUUGCUAGGAGGGAUGACGUGGAAGCUAAAGCAAACAAAGACAAGACAAAGAAAAAAGCUAAACAGUGUGAAGCCUGGAUUGGUAGGGUUAAGGAUAUUGAGAAUGACAUUUAAGAACUAGAAAAUGAAUCCAGAAAAGGUUCAUGGAAACGGCGUCAUGUUUUGUCAGCUUCCAAUCUCAGUAAAAGAUUGGCUGAGAAGUGUGAGGAACUGCAUAGUCUGUGGGCACAAGGAAGACUUGAAACAGAAGCAGUUGUCGAGAGACCACCUGAACCUGUUAGAACAAUGCAUGCACCCAAAACAGAAAAUAAGCCAUCAAUGCACUGUGCUGUUGAAGAGAUCCUUGGUUACUUGAGGGAUCGCGAGGUGAAAAGAAUCGGGCUUUGGGGGACAGUGGGAGUAGGGAAGACAACUAUCAUGCAUAAUUUGAAUGAUGAUGUGGAAAUCAGCAAAAUGUUUGACAUUGUAAUUUCUGCGUCGGUAUCCAAAGAAAGUAGCAUAGAGAAGUUGCAAAAGGCAAUUGCACAGAGACUUAAAUUGAAUACUGAAGGGAUCAGUGAUCUGAAGGAAAUAUUAUGGAGAAUAUUAGAAGAAUUAGAGAACAAAAGAUGCUUCUUCUGGAUGAAGUUUGGAAUGUUUUUGAUUUAUAGGCA